rnacentral:rRNA from 1 species
GACAGAGGUGCCGAGCGUUAGGCGGAAUCACUGGGCUUAAAGCGUGUGUAGGCGGGCGGGCAAGUACCUUGUGAAAUCCCACGGCUCAACCGUGGAACUGCUGGGUAUACUGCCUGUCUUGAGCCAGCCAGGGGCAGUCGGAACAGACGGUGGAGCGGUGAAAUGCGUAGAUAUCGUCUGGAACGCCAAAGGUGAAAACAGACUGCUGGGGCUGUGCUGACGCUGAGACACGAAAGCCAGGGGAGCGAAUGGG